rnacentral:rRNA from 1 species
UGCAAGCGUUACUCGGAAUUACUGGGCGUAAAGCGUGCGUAGGCGGUUUCUUAAGUCUGAUGUGAAAGCCCCCGGCUCAACUGGGGAGGGUCAUUCGAUACUGAUCGACUGGAAGGCAGGAGAGGGAAGCGGAAUUCCCGGUGUAGUGGUGAAAUGCGUAGAUAUCGGGAGGAACACCAGUGGCGAAGGCGGCUUCCUGGCCUGUUCUUGACGCUGAGGCGCGAAAGCUAGGGGAGCAAACGGG